rnacentral:rRNA from 1 species
AACGAACGCUGGCGGCGUGGAUUAGGCAUGCAAGUCGAACGAGAAUCUGAGAGUCCAAGUUUUCGGACAAGGACUUUUGGAGGAAAGUGGCGGAAGGGUGAGUACAACAUGGAUAAUCUACCUUCAAGUUGGGUAUAGCUUUCCGAAAGGAGAGAUAAUCCCGGAUGUGGUGAUCCGGCGCAUGCCGGAGACUCCAAAGGUGGGGACCGCAAGGCCUGCCGCUUGAAGAUGAGUCCGUGCACUAUCAGCUAGUUGGUGAGGUAAUGGCUCACCAAGGCUAUGACGGUUAGCUGGUCUGAGAGGAUGGUCAGCCACACUGGGACUGAGAUACUGCCCAGACUCCUACGGGAGGCUGCAGUCGAGAAUCAUUCGCAAUGGGCGAAAGCCUGACGGUGCGACGUCGCGUGGAGGAUGACGGUCUUCGGAUUGUAAACUCCUGUCAUGUGGGAUAAAUAGCCCGGUGUGAAUAGCAC